GACGUAGGGCGCGAGCGUUGUCCGGAAUUAUUGGGCGUAAAGAGCUCGUAGGCGGUUUGUUGCGUCGGCCGUGAAAACCUGCAGCUUAACCGGGGAACUGCGUCUGAUACUGGAUGGCUUGAGUUCGGGAGAGGGAUGCGGAAUUCCAGGUGUAGCGGUGAAAUGCGUAGAUAUCUGGAGGAACACCGGUGGCGAAGGCGGCAUCCUGGACCGAUACUGACGCUGAGGAGCGAAAGCCAGGGGAGCAAACGGG
rnacentral:rRNA from 1 species